UUAGCUUCUUCAGAGAUGGUUGAUGUUUCAGAAGAAGCUGCAACUUAUGAUGAUGAUCUGGAGGUUCUCUCAUCGACCCAAGCCAAGCUGUGUACCGACCCUUCAGCAUCUGAAGUUGACAUCCCAGAAGAACAUGCAACAACCUGCAAUGAUGAUGAUGAUGAUGAUCUUAUUCACUCAUCAACUGGAGCUGAUCCAUGCACUCUUCUUAGUCUUCUGCAAUCAGAAGACGUCGACAUUGCAGAACAGCAAGUGCCACCUUCUGAUGAUCAAAUUCAGUCAUGCAUCACCCAACCUUCAGAAGACAUGGACAUUGCGGAAGAACUGGCAACAAUCUCUGAAGACAAUCAGAUUCAUUCAUUUGAUGCUUUGAAAUCAGUGAAAGGUACUAGCUGUGCCCCUGACCCCAAUAGAGAUACUGAAGAUGAGUUAAAUUUAUGCUGUGAACAAGAAACUGAAAGUCCAACCUCUGUUCUGGAUGUGGCCUUCUCAGACCAUCCUGCUGCUAGUUCAGAGAACCAUAUCAUGCUGGAUGGUGAGAUUUUCAUCUAGUACAUAUGCAAAAACCUGCAUUAGCUUUCGAUAAUUUCAAAAUAAUCUUGACCUGGAUUAGCAUCUCAGAAUGGCAUUCUAAACAAGCAAAAUAGCAAAACUUAUUAUCUUAUAAAAUAUUAAAAUACAGCAAACUUGCUACCAAAUUACCAACGAAAUUAACAAAUUCUUGAAUUUGCUUUGAAUUUGCCCAACUUCUUAUUUUAAUCUCCUUUUCCUGUUCGUCUGUUUCACAGAUUCAUCGCUGGUGGAAAAAACUGCCCAUUCAAAUGAAGUGCACGAUCAUUCAGUUGGCAGUGAUGAUGAUCUCGAUUCUAGCACUUCUGUCAAACCACCAACUAGCUCAUUGACUCUGGAGAACAUACUUCAGGAGAACAACCUCAGCGACCUGAACGCCCUCCAAGAAGCGGCAGCAGACCCAAAGAACGAGGCCGAGCUGGCCUACGUGAAGGACAUAUUCAACAAGUCGAGCUUCCGCGACGAGGCGCUGUUCGAAGCUUGGUGCUCGCAGAACCGCGCCGCGCUCCAGGAGGACGACUGCCAGCACUACGAUGCCGCCGCCGCGGCCAUCGACUUCACCGACAUGUCGGCCGACGAGCUGCUCCUGUUCGACCUGACGAACGAGGCUCUUCUCGACGUGUACAAGGACUACGCCGCCGGCGAGUCCAGGCAGCCCCGCUUCUCCGCCUUCCAGCGGCCCAAGCCCGUCGGCGAGCGCGCCCUCAGGGAGCUGCGGUCCAGGGUGGGCCGCCGGCUCGACGAGCGGCCGCAGUCCGGCGUGGAGGUCGACGUCGACGCCGUGCUGUCGAGCGACCUGGCCAGGGCGGACCGCUGGAGCAACUUCCGGCGAGAGGCCGACCAGGUGGCGGGCCUGGUGGCGAACUCCGUGCUCGACAGGCUCGUCACCGAGCUCGCGCUCCAGCUCGCGAAGUUUUGAGUCUGCAUAGAUAGUUAGCCAGCCAUUCAUUUAUUCUGCCUGCCCCCUUUUUUAUUGGUUAGUUAAUUAAUUUAGAUGCUUGAUGAUGAUACAUAUACACCAUGGAAGUGUGAGGGGAUGUUACAUUACAUUACAUUAUCAUGUAGAUAUCAGAAACCAUUUUUGGUUCUUUCCUCCUGGGAGAGGAGAGGAGAAUACAUAGGAACAUGAGUCAGGAGAAUGUUGUUAGGUCAUCUUAGUG
rnacentral:lncRNA from 1 species